rnacentral:rRNA from 1 species
CUUAAUGAGAGUUUGAUCCUAGCUCAGGGUGAAUGCUGGCGGCGUGGAUAAGUCAUGCAAGUCAAGGGGGCCCGCAAGGGCAACCGGCAGACGAGGUAGUAACGCGUAGGUAGAUCCCCCGAAGUCGGGCAUAGCCAUCCGAAAGGAUGGGUAAUUCCCGAUAGUCCCGCAAGGGUAAAGGCAAUUAUUUAUUUAGUUGUCGCUUCGGGAGUUGCCUGCGCAGUAUCAGCUAGUUGGUAGGGUAAUGGCCUACCAAGGCUACGACGCUUAGGGGGGCUGAGAGGCCGAUCCCCACCGGUGGAACUGCGACACGGUCCACACUCCUACGGGAGGCUGCAGACGAGAAUAUUCCGCAAUGGACGAAAGUCUGACGGAGCGACGCCGCGUGAUCGAUGAAGUGCUUCGGUACGUAAAGAUCUUUUAUCGGGGACGAAGUUUAUUGACGGUACCCGAUGAAUAA